AUUGAACGCUGGCGGCAUGCUUUACACAUGCAAGUCGGACGAGUGGCGAACGGGUGAGUAACAUAUCGGAACGUCCCGAGUAAUGGGGGAUCACUAAUCGAAAGAUUAGCUAAUACCGCAUAUUAUUCGAGCGGCCGAUAUCUGAUUAGCUGGUUGGUGGGGUAAAGGCCUACCAAGGCGACGAUCAGUAGCGGGUCUGAGAGGAUGAUCCGCCACACUGGGAUGGAGACGCGGCCCAGACUACGACGGGAGGCAGCGGUGGGGUAUUGUGGACUAUGGGCGGAACCCUGGUCCAGCCCUGCCGCGUGUCUGAAGAAGGCCUUGGUGUUGUAAAGGACUUUUGUCAGGGAAGCGGUACCUGAUGAAUAAGCACCGGCUAACUACGUGCCAGCAGCCGCGGUAAUUC
rnacentral:rRNA from 1 species